rnacentral:rRNA from 1 species
AUUGAACGCUGGCGGCAUGCCUUACACAUGCAAGUCGAACGGCAGCGCGGGAGCAAUCCUGGUGGCGAGUGGCGAACGGGUGAGUAAUAUAUCGGAACGUGCCCAGUCGUGGGGGAUAACGUAGCGAAAGCUACGCUAAUACCGCAUACGAUCUAUGGAUGAAAGCGGGGGAUCGCAAGACCUCGCGCGAUUGGAGCGGCCGAUAUCAGAUUAGGUAGUUGGUGGGGUAAAGGCGCACCAAGCCGACGAUCUGUAGCUGGUCUGAGAGGACGACCAGCCACACUGGGACUGAGGCACGGCCCAGACUCCUACGGGGGGCAGCAGUGGGGAAUUUUGGACAAUGGGCGCAAGCCUGAUCCAGCAAUGCCGCGUGCAGGAUGAAGGCCUUCGGGUUGUAAACUGCUUUUGUACGGAGCGAAAAGGCUUCCACUAAUACUGGGGGCUCAUGACGGUACCGUAAGAAUAAGCACCGACUAACUACGUGCCAGCCGCCGCCGUAACAC